rnacentral:rRNA from 1 species
UACGGGGGGGGCAAGCGUUGUUCGGAAUUACUGGGCGUAAAGGGCUCGUAGGCGGCCGACUAAGUCAGACGUGAAAUCCCCCGGCUUAACCGGGGAACUGCGUCUGAUACUGGACGGCUUGAAUUCGGGAGAGGGAUGCGGAAUUCCAGGUGUAGCGGUGAAAUGCGUAGAUAUCUGGAGGAACACCGGUGGCGAAGGCGGCAUCCUGGACCAACACUGACACUGAUGAGCGAAAGCCAGGGGAGCAAACGGG